rnacentral:rRNA from 1 species
AUUGAACGCUGGCGGCAUGCCUUACACAUGCAAGUCGAACGGCAGCGCGGACUUCGGUCUGGCGGCGAGUGGCGAACGGGUGAGUAAUACAUCGGAACGUGCCCUGUUGUGGGGGAUAACUAGUCGAAAGAUUAGCUAAUACCGCAUACGACCUGAGGGUGAAAGCGGGGGACCGUAAGGCCUCGCGCAAUAGGAGCGGCCGAUGUCUGAUUAGCUAGUUGGUGGGGUAAAGGCCCACCAAGGCGACGAUCAGUAGCUGGUCUGAGAGGACGAUCAGCCACACUGGGACUGAGACACGGCCCAGACUCCUACGGGAGGCAGCAGUGGGGAAUUUUGGACAAUGGGGGCAACCCUGAUCCAGCAAUGCCGCGUGUGUGAAGAAGGCCUUCGGGUUGUAAAGCACUUUUGUCCGGAAAGAAAUCGCUCUGGCUAAUACCUGGGGUGGAUGACGGUACCGGAAGAAUAAGCACCGGCUAACUACGUGCCAGCAGCCGCGGUAAUACGUAGGGUGCGAGCGUUAAUCGGAAUUACUGGGCGUAAAGCGUGCGCAGGCGGUUUUGUAAGACAGGCGUGAAAUCCCCGGGCUCAACCUGGGAAUUGCGCUUGUGACUGCAAGGCUAGAGUGCGUCAGAGGGGGGUAGAAUUCCACGUGUAGCAGUGAAAUGCGUAGAGAUGUGGAGGAAUACCGAUGGCGAAGGCA